ACGGAGCUUACCAUUACUGAACAAGAGGGGGAGAGAAAUGGGGAAAAUAGAGGCAAAAGCCAUGUAAAGCUGCAAUUAUACCCAUACAAAAUGUAAAGAACACUUUCAGAUUUUAUGUGCAUAAUGUUUCCACAUCAAUAAAAAAAGAGUAAAUGAGUGUCUCCAUCCCCCAUAAUUUAACAUAGUUGGUUUGGGCUGAAACCAGAAGCUCUUGCCUCUCCACCCACAUGCAGGUGACUAUCCCAUGCACUCAGGAAGUUGAUCAAAGUCACACCUAGUGUUUCCCAACACCAUCCGAGAUCAGCAGAAAACAUUCAGAAACUUCCUUAGCACAAGUCUCAUUGAAAUUGUAUCAUGAUGGGAUUGAGUUCACUCAGCAAGCCUGCUGAUGACACCAAGCGGAGUGGUGCAGUUGACACAAUAGAAGGAAGGGAUGUUGUCUGAGACAGGGGAAGGCCCAGGAGUGUUUAUUGGCUGAAGAUUUGUCCUGAGAGCAAAUGCAACCAGCUGAUACAAGAGAUUUGGAGAUGAUACUACUGUAUCUCAUGAAGGCAAAAUAGAAGCUGGCUUUUCCCUUCUUCCUCUACCUGCUGACUUAAAUUUGCAAGGCCUAGAAGACAGUAACAAGGGAGUUUCUGCUGAGAUCCUGAAGCCAGGAGCCAUCACUGCAGAAGAGCAGCCUCGGCUCUUUGGACUAUAAGAAAGAGUUUGUAAUGUCGUCAUUAGUCAUCAGCUGACCAACACAAUCUCUGGAUGACCCACCACUAGUGGAGAUCAGCACCUGGCACCGAGACAUAGUUGGAUCAAGGAGUAGUGAGCCACUCUGCUCUGUGUAUCUGUCUGUCUGUCUCUUUCCUCAUUUUUUAAAAUCUUUUCUCUUUAUCUUCUUUUACUCUUUCACUCUGUGCAGUAGCCAUUGCCUAAUAAUUUCUUACCUGUAACUCCUAUUAAUCAUAAUUAGCAAAUUAGCCAAUGUUACCUCUGAGAGCAUUAGUUGUUGUUAAAAAAGAUUUCAACAAGUUGAUGUGUGUUAUUCCUCUGAGUCUAGGAUGACUUGCAGACCCCUGCUGACUAGAAGAGGUGUGACUCAGGAGACAGAAAAGGAUUCACCUCCCUCUAAACCUACUGUGUGGGACAAGACAGAUGACAUCCAGAGGGACCUGGACAGGCUUGAGGAGUGGGCACAUGAACACAUAACGAUGUUCACCAAGGCCAAAUGAAGCUGCAUGGCCAGAGACAGAAGGGGAAAAAAAAUAAUCCUAGGCUCAGGAUGCAGAUCUCACUAACUCCCUUGGAAAGAGAUGGUGGCACAGUAUCCAGGGCAACAUUCUUCCUCUUGCUUCUGAUUAGCAAGAAAUGCAUCAAGUACAAAGUUAAGUCACAGUCUCAGGUAGACUCUAGGAGAGGUACUAAAUACAUUAAUGUUGUGUAUAAAUCACUCAUUGGACUUUACGUUUAUGGGCUUGUUGGUUUUGGCUUCAGGGCAUGAGAACUUUUUUUUUCUCUCAAACAUAGAGUUGUGCAGAAUGGAAGGAAAUCAACAUUAACAAUGAUCAUAGAAUUAUAGAAUUAUUAUAGUUGGAAAAGGCUUCCAGGGUUAUUCAGUCCAACAGUGCACUCACUAACAAUACUGCUCACUAAACCAUGUUCCUUAGUACAACAUCUACACGUUCCUUGAACAUCUCCAGGGUGUGGGAAUUGAAUGUUGUUUCUGCAUCAGAACAAAAUAAGAAUUUUGUUAAUUUUCUGGCCUCUCUACCAUUUGGGUCCUUUAUUAGAACUAAUAGUUCUUUUCAGGUGCCUUUCUACUUUAUUGGGGUUCUCUGAUAAGUUUUCAUUGCUAAUCCCCUAGAUAAAUCUUCCCAAACAACACAUACUCAGUGUAUAAGUAAAGUAAUUUGUGUGUGUAUAUAUAUAUAUGUAGAGAUUAGGUAGAUGGAGUAAAUUAUAAGAAUACAGAAUUAAAGGAUAUAUAUAUAAGAUAGUAACAACUUAUGUAUAGCCAGCAUUGAAAAUAUAUGUCACACAUAUUGCAAGAGUGUCCUGUGAAAAUAAAAAGGACAAUUCGUUACAUGCCUCAGGGAGUGCCUGAAGAAGGUGUGGAGGAAGAUCGGGCACCUCCCCUCUGUACUCUUUGUUUAACAAAGACUCUGAAGAAAAUCACCUUAUCAAUAAUGAACAAGGAGAGUGUUGAGACAUCUUGGAGAUGACAGGACUGACACCAAAUAACAAAUAAAUUAACAAGUAAUUAACAAAUGUAAUUGCCUUCUGAUAAGAUUGUGAACCUGGAGUACCCAGCCAGUGGGAAAUAGGGGAGGCAAGGGUAUACAGGGUAUACAGGGUAUAAAGGCUGUCGUGUUGUGUCCAUAGGUUGCCCGCCAUUGCAAUAGUGAAUAAAUUCUGCUUUAUCAGAGAUACCAUCCCGACAAAAGUUAUUUGGACAUUUCCAACAAGGGACAGUGACUCAACCGCCUCCCUGGGCAGCCCAUUCCAGUGCCUGGCCACUCUUUCAGAGAAUAAAUUUUUCCUCCCCUGGCACAGCUUGUGGCCAUUCCCUCUAGUCCUGUCGCCAGUUAACCAGAAGAGACCAACACCCACCUCAGCACAACCUCCCUUCAGGCAGUUGUAGAGAGCAAUAAGGUCACCCCAAGCCUCCUCUUCUCUGUGUUGCUAUCAUUUCAGCUCAAGGGGAGCAGAUAUAAGGCUUUGGUAGGUCAUCUGACCUCUCUCUUCUUUGCCAGGCUCUCCUCCCUGCUGCUCAACCAGACUGUGCAUCUCACCUCAGUGUUACGGUGAGGCCUAUCCACCUUUUGGACGUUCUCUCUCAUUAUAUUCGAUUUAUCAUCUUCAAUUCUAAUUAUAUUAUAUUAUACUGUGUUAUCUUGUAUUUCAAUACCAUUAUUAUAUACCAUAAUGCAUAUAUCAGUAAAUUAGUUUCUCCUCAGAUCAUUGCAGCUGUUUUUAAUUAUUUUGGGGUCCCCGUUUCCCUUUUCCAGAGGGGUGGAUUUGUGAAACCCCUCUGUCCUGCUAGUCACAGAACCGGGCUGAGCCAGCCCCUAAACUGUUGACAGCAACCUUCAUCUAAACCUCUCAUAAACCUCUAGAUUAAAGAAGCAGUAUUUAGAACACUGCCUUGAAAGGAACAGCUAUCCUUGCAGAACAUUUACAAGCUUCCCUGUGUCACCGUUGUUUAAAAGAUGUUUGAUAUUACAUAUAAUUCCAAGGUAUGUCUAGCACUUGCAGAGAUUGCAAUUUCUUUUCACAAAAGUGCAUUGCUGUUAACUGGAAGAGCAGUGCUACUAUUCUUUCUGGUCUUAAAUCUGUGCAGCAUUUUGCAGUAUAUACUAUUCAACUUUGGAAGAAAAAAAGCUUUGCAGCUUGUAGGCUACUACUCUGUGGUCCCGUGUAAGCAAUUGGAAGUGAUAAACACAAAUUGUAGUCAAUAAAAGUACCAGUAGAGAAACAAAACAGAAUAAACAAGACAUGUGUUUAUGAGUUAUUUUUAAACAAGAAAUGAAGCCAGCUCCAAAUAUAUGAUUGGGACGCCCAAGUGAGUAGAUUAGUCUUGUUUCACGAUAUUAAGACAUGAUUGACCAUGAUUGAACAAACAUGGUCUGCACCAAAUUUCAAGAUCUGUGAAAAGAGAAGAGAAAACUUCAUCUACCAUCUGAUGAUUCAGCCGGCAUCAUCACAAGAAUAAUAGUCUCAACUUUCAAGGUGUUGUUCUGAAAACAAGAAGGUUUCCCUCUUGAUACUGACCCUGAAUUCGAGAAAUUUCUAAAAUCAUACAUUAACUGUAAACAGAAAUCUGAACUUCAGCACCAGGAAAUUAUUUGUCUCAGCCUAUGGUAGCAGUCAAAAGCCUCCUCCCUCACACUGCUUCAAGAUAAUCAAGUUAUAACCUUAAAGACUUUCUGUAAAGAGAUUAGCUAUCUCACCAGUCUUGAGUGCCUAAGGGCUACAGAAGACAACAGCACUGAGUGUCAGAAAAAAUUCUUCCUUUUCGUUUCACAGCAGUGUGGGAAUUGAAUGUUGUUUCUGCAUCAGAACAAAAUAAGGAUUUUGUUAAUUUUCUGGCCUCUCUACCGUUUGGGUCCUUUAUUAGAACUAAUAGUUCUUUUCAGGUGCCUUUCUACUUUAUUGGGGUUCUCUGAUAAGUUUUCAUUGCUAAUCCUCUAGAUAAAUCUUCCCCAACAACACAUACUUGGUAUAUAAGUAAAGUAAUAUGUAUGUAUAUAUAUACAUAUAAGCUAGUAACAACUUAUGUAUAGCCAGCAUUGAGAAUAUAUGUCGCACACGUUUGUAAGACAUUAUUCUGUAAAACAUCAUUUUCUCAAAGCUUGCUGGGGACGCAGAUGAACCAGUCCAGGCAAGUCCUGGGCAGAGGUUGUGAAAUCCUUUUUCUGGAGAACUUUGAUGGACAAAUCCUGGGCAAGGGUUGUGAAAUCCUUUGUCUGGUGGACACAGAUGGACAAGGCCGGGGCAAGGAGAGAGAGAUGAGCUGCAGCUAAAUGGCUGUGAAGUGCUCUUUUGUGUGGGCUUAUCUCAGGAUGAUGGCCAUCUCAGGGGAUACUCACAUGACUCAACUCAAGAGCCCAGGGAUGUCACAUAGGCAGGAGAACAAGUAGGAUAAAAGUGGAAUCGAAAACCAUGAGGACGGGUGUCUGACAUCAGAUUCCUCACUACGGAAUUCCCGCAUGCUGACAGACUCUCCUGGGCCUGCUACCUGAGCGCUGCUGCUUGCUCCCGGAUUGGCUCUGCGACUGUCUCCUGCUAUCUGCUUGCUGCCCAAAGCCAGCCACGCUGCUGCUCCCCUCCCUGCUGCUUCUGCCGUGGACCUUCGAAACGUCGUGCAACGGGACCGCUGCUGGAUCCUGGUGGUGACUAUCCCCACUUUAUGCAGUUCUUGCUUCUUUCCUAUCUUUUCUAUCGCCCUCCUUUAUAGGAUUUAUAAUAAACUGGUUGGACCAACAUAUCAACCGUUGCUUCUUAAUCUCAUGCCGGAUAUACAGAUAUUAAAAGAACCUCAUCUCCUUCCUAUAAGCUGGAGCAAGACAACAUUGCAACAGUGUUCUGCACAAUUUAAAAGGGGCAAUUCGUUACAUGCCUCAGGGAGUGCCUGAAGAAGGUGUGGAGGAAGAUCGGGCACCUCCCCUCCAUACUCUUUGUUUAACAAAGACUCUGAAGAAAAUCACCUUAUCAAUAAUGAACAAGGAGAGUGUUGAGACAUCUUGGAGAUGACAGGACUGACACCAAAUAACAAAUAAAUUAACAAGUAAUUAACAAAUGUAAUUGCCUUCUGAUAAGAUUGUGAACCUGGAGUACCCAGCCAGUGGGAAAUAGGGGAGGCAAGGGG